rnacentral:rRNA from 1 species
UACGAGUGCCCCGAGCGUUAUCCGGAAUCAUUGGGCGUAAAGGGUGUGUAGGUGGUAGUGUUAGUCGAUUGUUAAAACCUGGGGCUCAACCCCAGAUCCGCGAUCGAAACGGCACAACUAGAGGAUGGCAGGGAUGUAUGGAACUCAUGGAGUAGGGGUGAAAUCCGUUGAUAUCAUGGGGAACACCAAAAGCGAGGGCAGUACAUUGGGCCACUCCUGACACUGAAACACGAAAGCGUGGGUAGCGAAUGGG